CCAGUGCUGAGGAAAACAGAGUGAGACAGACAGAGAGACAGAGUUGGAGAUAGAAACCUGGCCCCAGUGGGAUCCCCUUUCAGCUGUACCUGUUCUACACCUGUACUUUUCUGAUAUAUGAGAAAACUUAAGACUGCAAAAGUAAAACAGCUUUCUUUUCAGUCCUUAUCCUGGUUGCAUCCAUUCUUGGCUACACUAUACUAGUGCAUCUCAAACUUUAAUGUGCAUCAGGAUCACCUGGAGGAGGGCUUCCUAAAACAGACUGUGGGACCCAACACCAGACUCUCCAGUUAUUACACAUUCCCCG